rnacentral:rRNA from 1 species
UACGUAGGGGGCAAGCGUUGUCCGGAAUCAUUGGGCGUAAAGCGCGUGUAGGCGGCCCGGUAAGUCCGCUGUGAAAGUCGGGGGCUCAACCCUCGAAUGCCGGCGGAUACUGUCGGGCUAGAGUGCGGGAGAGGCGAGUGGAAUUCCUGGUGUAGCGGUGAAAUGCGCAGAUAUCAGGAGGAACACCAAUUGCGAAGGCAGCUCGCUGGAACGUAACUGACGCUGAGACGCGAAAGCGUGGGGAGCAAACAGG